rnacentral:lncRNA from 1 species
GGGCCUGGACUGAAGCUGAGUCCUAAUGGCAUCUAGUUGGGACAAGACCCCCCUCACUGAAACUCAGAGCCUAUCAAGAUCAGAAGAGAUGAAGUCUCAGAGUCUCUGAUAUCUACUCGGAUCAGCUCAAGUGAAGAACAAAGCUGGCUAUGGAGUCUCUCUAUCUCUUGAGUCAAGUCAGCCAACUGAAGUGAUGAGGUGGUCGAUGUGCUCGCUCCUGUCGAUAGAAAAUCUAAAAUCAAUCUGAUCUCCCUCUCAAUAUCAAAGAUCCUAUCCCUAAACCUAAGCAUG